AGGAGAACGGGCGAGCGGGGCGGCGGUCGCGGCCGAGUCCGGCCCCGGGGAGGCGCCUAGGGGUUGGCGUUCCGGUCGGCGCGUGGCGGGGCGGGGCCGUGAGCGUGCCCGCGCGGCUUGGCGGCUGUGACGGACAGGGCGUGGUGCGUGUGCGCGUGGGGGAGGGCGCAGGUGUAAGGUGCGGCGGGGUGUGCCUGCGGCCCUGCCCCCGCGCGGGCCCUCGCUGCGCUUCGCGCGGCCCGCCGCCGGCGAGAGACGGCGUGUAUGGGAGCGCUGGAGGGGCUCUGCGUGGCUGGGGGCCGGAAGCACCCCCAGAGGCGACCGCCGCGCCCCAGCGCCCGCACACCCGGCCCCGCCACUGGGAGCCCGGUGCGGCCCAGAGCCCCGCGGGCCUGGGGAGCUGCCUGGCUGCGGCGGUGCGGCUGAAGCGCUUCUUGCCUGCCCCGCCCGGAGGCGGGGGAAGCCGGGACACGGGGCUGAGCAUGGAGAUGAGGACACUGAAGCAUAGAGAGGACCGGUAAUCACUAGUAAGUUGAGGGGCCAGGAUUCACAUCCAGGACAGGCCGACUCCACAGCCCCGCUCUGUACUGGCUCUCAUGUAAUCUCCUCAACAGCUGCUUGAGUUUCUGUUAUGUAAAAUGAAGAGAAUAUUCUUUACCUCAUAGGACUGUUAUAAGGAUUAAGUGAGCUCAUACCUGUGAAGCACUUGCUGUAGUCCCUGCCACACAGUAAGUGCUCAAAACUUGGCGGAGGGCGUGGCAGAGGACUUAAGAACUAUAGUUUGUCAGAAAGCAAAGUGAGAACCUGGGUCUCCUGACAGUUUUUUGGUCCAGCUAUCUGCAAGCCACGUGGACUCUGUUGUAACAAAGCUGUGCCCUCUCAGGGUGAAGCCCUUCUCCACAUGAGGAGCCGGGAAGAGGAGAACAGGAUGGGAAUUGAACUUCCUAAAGCCAUGUCCGUGGAUUCAGUGACUUUCACGGAUAUAGCCAUAGACUUCUCCCAAGACGAGUGGGAAUGGCUGAAUCUUGCUCAAAGAACUUUGUACAAGAAGGUGAUGUUAGAGAACUAUAGGAACCUGGCUUCAUUGGGUCUUUGCAUUUCUAAACCAGAUGUGAUUUCCUUAUUGGAGCAAGAUAAAGAGCCCUGGAUGAUGAAGGGAGAGAUAACAAGAGGCUUGAGCCGAGACUUAGAGUAUGUGUGGAUGACAAAGGAAUUACCUCUGAACCAGGACAUCUAUGAGGAAAAAUUAUCCCAGGCAAUGAUAAUGGAAAGACUUACAAGCUAUGACAUAGAGUGGCCCACAUCAGGGGAAAACUGGAAAUGUGAAGACCUGCUUGAGAGGGAGCUGGUAAGUCAGAAGACACACUUUAGGCGAGAGACAGUCGCUCACGUAGACACCAUUAGUGAGAAAGGAGGCCACUCUGACAAAUGCGGGACAGUUUUUCAUCUGACUACAUUAUCUUAUAUAAAACAGUUAUUUCCUAUUGAAGAGAGAAUAUAUAAUUUUGACACAGAUAAGAAAAGCUUAAAAACACAUGCCUUUGUGAAAAAACACAAGCAAGUCUACAGAGAAAAGAAACUUUUGAAAUGUAACGACUGUGAGAAAACUUUCAGCAAAAUCUCAACACUUACUCUUCAUCAGAGAAUUCACACUGGAGAGAAACCCUAUGAAUGUGUCGAGUGUGGGAAGGCCUUCAGCCAGAGUGCACACCUCGCUCAACAUCAGAGAAUCCACACAGGAGAAAAGCCCUUCGAAUGUGCUGAAUGUGGGAAAGCCUUCAGCCAGAAUGCUCAUCUCAUUCAGCAUCAGAGAGUUCAUACUGGAGAGAAACCUUAUCAAUGUAAGCAGUGUAACAAAGCCUUCAGCCAGCUUGCACACCUCUCUCAGCACCAGAGAGUUCAUACUGGCGAGAAACCCUACGAAUGUAUCGAAUGCGGGAAAGCUUUUAGUGAUUGUUCGUCCCUAGCUCAUCAUCGAAGGAUUCACACUGGAAAAAGACCCUAUGAAUGUCUUGACUGUGGGAAAGCUUUCAGGCAAAACGCUUCUCUUAAACGUCAUCAGAGGUACUGUCACACUGGAGAGAAGCCUUUUGAUUGUAUUGACUGUGGGAAGGCUUUCACUGAUCACAUAGGACUUAUUCAGCACAAGAGAAUUCAUACUGGAGAGAGACCUUACAGGUGUAAUGUGUGUGGGAAGGCUUUUAGCCAUGGCUCAUCCCUGACUGUCCAUCAGAGAAUUCAUACAGGAGAGAAGCCCUAUGAAUGUAACAUCUGUGAGAAAGCCUUUAGCCAUCGGGGCUCGCUAACUCUUCACCAGAGAGUUCAUACUGGAGAGAAACCCUACGAAUGUAAGGAAUGCAGGAAGGCUUUUCGGCAGAGCACACACCUGGCCCAUCAUCAGAGAAUUCAUACUGGGGAGAAACCUUAUGAAUGUAAGGAGUGCAGCAAAACCUUCAGCCAGAAUGCACACCUUAUACAACAUCAGAAAAUACACACUGGAGAGAAACCGUACGAAUGUAAGGAAUGCCCUAAGGCCUUCAGUCAGAUUGCACAUCUUAUUCAACACCAGAGAGUCCAUACAGGCGAGAAGCCUUAUGAAUGUACUGAAUGUGGGAAGGCCUUUAGUGAUGGCUCCUAUCUCGUUCAACAUCAGAGGCUCCACACUGGCAAAAGACCAUAUGCCUGUCUUGAAUGUGGGAAGGCAUUCAGACAGAGGGCAUCCCUGAUCUGUCACCAAAGGUGUCACACAGGUGAGAAACCUUAUGACUGUAACGUCUGUGGGAAAGCCUUUAGCCAUCGUAAAUCCCUCACUCUGCAUCAGAGAAUUCACACAGGAGAGAAACCUUAUGAGUGCAAGGAAUGCAGCAAAGCCUUCAGCCAGAUUGCCCACCUGACGCUGCACAGGAGAAUUCAUACUGGAGAAAGGCCCUAUGAAUGUAAAGAAUGUGGAAAAGCCUUCAGGCAGAGUGUACACCUUGCUCACCAUCAGCGAAUCCAUACUGGAGAGGCCUCCUCAGUCAUUCCCUCCCCUUCACCUGCGUACCGCAAUGUCCUCUAGUUUCAGGUUCUGAAUCUAUCUGUCCACUUUUUCCCAACUUAUGUGCCACUGUCACAUCCAAAAGGCAACCAUCUCAUUUGGAUUUCUGCAUAGCGUCACAACCAUUUUCCCUCUUGCUCCCCUCAAGUGUAUUUUUAACAUUGUAGCCAGCUUAAUCUUUUACAAGUAAAGAACUGUAUUCAUUUACUUUUCCAUUUAAAACACUUGUUUUGAAGAAUAUGUUAGAUAAUCCACUUAAAGGGUUUAGCAUGCCAUCCUGGGCUUAUCAUUAGUGCCAUUAAGGUGGAAGUUUCCUUACAGUGAUGUUCAGCUGCAAGUAUAAUGAACCAGUAUGUUAAGACUAAGAAGCCUACAAAUUUUAGAGUAGACAGAGAACUCUACUCUUCUAGUAGGUAGGAAAAAUGAACACAUUCAGAAUUGAAAGAUUCUAUGAUAUACAAGGUAACAUGGUGGCUUGCUCCUCCCUCUGUAUGAAUAAAUACAGUGACAUCCAGCAUUGUUUAUGAGAAAGUCUCACCUCACCUGGCACUUAGAAGUGAGAAUAGGCUUAUUAGAACAAAAGAUAGAAGGUAGGACUAACCAGGGGAUAGUAUUAAAAAUGAACUAAAAUGAACAACCUAGAAACCUUGGUUAGCCGUGAAAUAAACUACAAAAGGUGGUUCAACACUUUCAACUGUGGAAAAGCACCACGGACAAUCCCUGUGAUAUUUAAUUGUUCUAGAGCAUAAAAUAAAUACAGUAAAGCUUCCCAUCUUGUUCUGUGAGAUGGACAAGACUAAUAUCAAAACAGAAAAACAUAUAUAUUGCAAUUGGCUUAUGAAUGUAGAUAUUAAAACAGUUACAAAUUUUUAUCUAAAUUUACUUAUUUAUUUAUUGGCCAUGCCGGGUCUUUGUUGCUGCACAGGGGCUUUCUCUGGUUGCAGCAAGCAGGGGCCACUCUUCAUUGUGGUGCAUGGGCUCCUCAUUGUGAUGGCUUCUCUUGUUGCAGAGCACCGGCUCUAGGUGCGCCACCUAGGAAGUCCCUGAGUAUUUUUUAAAUAUUAAAAAACAGAGUAAAUGAAAAGCUAGACAUGUCUCUGUAUAGACAGACUCAGUCCAGCAAAGAUAUUUCUCCCCAAGUUAAAUACAUAAACUCAUUGAUAUUCUAGUAAAAGUCCCUACGUGUUUUUUAAGUUGACAGACUCAUGUUGACCAUCUAUAUAAUCCUAUGAUAUAGCAAGGAGUGUAGCACUCAUUAAAUUAGCAUUAAUGGAGCACUUAUUACUCUUCCAGGCACUAUUUUAGGUGCUGGGGACUCAGUAAGGUGCAAAAUGUACAAAAAUGUUUCUCCUCACAGAUCUAGUGGAAGAAGACAAACUAAAAAUUGACAUACUAUAUAGUGAGUAUGUGACAUGCACGUACUCAUACAUGUUGAGAAAUGAUUUAAAGGGAGCCAGGGAGUGCUGGGAGGGGGUGCUUUACUCCCCCAGAACAUAUGGGCAUUGGAACCAAGGGAUGAGGGAAGAACUAGAAAAACUCAGCCACAAAGGGCGUGAUAAGAAUAAUCAUGAGUCUCAAAGUAGAUAUUAUGAUGCUUUGAGAAUUGCAGGAAGCGAGAAUCGAUGGCUUAGCAAGGUUCAUGAGAGUUCCAGUCACUCUUCGUCAGUCGUGAUUUAGAGGUUGGUGGAGGUUUUUGUUUUGUUUUGAGUUUUGUUUUGGUAGCAGUCUUAUUGAGAUACAUUUCACAUACCAUACCAUUUGCCCACUUAAAGUAUAUGAUUCAGGGAAUUCCCUGGUGGUCCAGUGGUUAGGACUCCAUGGGCCCGGUUCAAUCCCUGGUCAGGGAACUAAGAUCUCAUAAGCUGUGUGGCGCAGCCAAAAAAAAAAAAAAUUAUGUGACUUUUAGUAUGUUCAGAGUUGUGCAACCAUCACUACAGUUCAUUUUAGAACAUUUUUUCAUCCCCCAAAACGAGAUCCUCUGCCCUUUAAUAGAUGCACUUACACCUGGAGGAAAACACUUACCUGGAGCACCUCCUACACCAGCAAGUACCUGGAAUAUCCAGAGCUCUCUUCUUUUUUUUUUUUUUUGCUGCAUUGGGUCUCCAUAGCUGCGCAUGGGCUUUUCUCUAGUUGUGGCGAGCGGGGGCUACUCUUCAUUGCAGUGCAUGGGCUUCUCAGUUCAGUGGCUUCACUUGUUGUGGAGCACAGGCUCCAGCGUGUGCAUGCGCGUGGGUUUCAGUAGUUGUGCACAGGCUUAGUUGCUCCACAGCAUAUAUAGGGCAUGUGGGAUCUUCCCAGACCAGGGAUCAAACCCCUGUCCCCUGCAUUGGCAGGCAGAUUCUUAACCACUGCGCCACCAGGAAAGUUCCUUGGCUUUCCUCUUGGCUGCUGCCUGUGGCCAUGUGAGGGAGCUCUUAUCCAGGGGACACAACCACUGGAAAAUGGAGCUAUGGGGCUUCCUCUUUACUUUGGCACAGAGGCUAGGAGGUGGGCAGUCUUAUCCAGACCAUGUGCAGGUUUUCACUGCCCUUACGUGUGAUAAAAAGGAUUUUUCAUUUCACUGGGAGCAAAAACAAAUCAAUCAGAUGGCCUUGGGACAGUUAGCUCUCUAGAAAGACGUAGACCUAUAUUUUACACACUGAUGAAGCUCUGACAGAUUUAGAGAUCUGAAGGUACAAUAUUAAAGUACAAGAAAAAUUUAGAAUAUUUCCAUAACCUUGGCUUGAGGUAGGCCUUGUUAAGCAUUACACAUAACCCAGGAGCUGACAUUAAACUGAGUAGCACUUCUGUGUGGAAAACAUCAGACUCAAAGUUAAUAGGUAAAUGAGAGACAAAGAAAAUGUUUGCGAUAAAUAAAAAAGUGCAAUAAUCCCUGAUAUUCAAAGCACUGAUACAAACUAGUAAUAGUAACAUCUGCAGCUCAGAAAAGUGGACACAGCUAACAGCCACUUUAAAUAAGAUGAAAUAAAAACAACUAAUGAAAAUUACCCACUAUUAGUCAUCAAGGCAAUGCAAAAAUAAAGUGAUGAUAUAUCAAUUUUUUUCCCUGAUAGGUUGAUUUUAAAUCAUAGAAGAGUGAUAAUAUCCAGUUUUGGUGAAUGUGUGAAAAACAAGGCAAUUCCAUUGUUCAUUAUAUAAAUUGCUGUAUGUACAGAGCAUUUGAAUCAGUAUUCCUCAGAAACAAAAGUGUACAAAGGAAAGUAACAACUCAUGAUGUGCACUGGGCAAACACCCAAGUGAAGAAUUAUUAGUCACAAUCACCUGAGGUGAAUAGACAUCUAGGGUCCUGGAUAAUGGCAGUUUCAAGAGGAAGAGGAAUGCCAAGUCCAAAGAGUGUCUGUGAUGCUGGUAGCUAACUGCUUUGGGUAAUUCAAAACUCAGAUCUUGAACGUUUUGAACUACUAGCAACUAAGGGUCUUUGUAUGAUAUUGUUGAAACAUACCUUACACCAUUCGAAGUCAUAGGGUUAAGAUGGCUUAAAACCAAAUUGAGAGACUUCUUUUCUGGGUUGCUAAGGUGGGAUACUGGUUAAAUUCUAUAUUUUAUUGUAGAGUGGUUGUAAGAUCUGAAUUGGGCCCCUCCCACCCCCAGAUUCACAUACUGAAUCCCUAAACCCCAGUGUGACUGCAUUUGGAGAGCUUCAGCUUUUGGGAGGAAAUGACGGUUAACUGAAGUGAUAAGGGUGGGGUCCUAAUCUGAUGGACCUGAUAACCUUAUAAGAAGAGGGAGAGACACCAGAGCUACUAGAGAGAAGUUAUGGUGACAAUUGAGAAGUGUUUCUGGCAAUUUAUCCCCAGAACUGACCUUGAGCUUUACAGGAAGUUGGUCUGGAGAUGAGAAGGAGCCACGUGAUAAGUUGAGGGACUCAACAUUUCUAGGUUACAGCAAGGAAAAUUCCUACCACCCACUGCAGAUGUGGCCUUCACAGGAAGUGUUUUUGCUCCUUGUAUCCGAGGAACCUAGAACUCAUAGUGCAUGUACCUCAUG